rnacentral:rRNA from 1 species
UACGUAGGGUGCAAGCGUUGUCCGGAAUUAUUGGGCGUAAAGAGCUCGUAGGCGGUCUGUCGCGUCUGCUGUGAAAACUCAGGGCUUAACCCCUGAGCUUGCAGUGGGUACGGGCAGACUAGAGUGCGGUAGGGGGAGACUGGAAUUCCUGGUGUAGCGGUGAAAUGCGCAGAUAUCAGGAGGGAACACCGGUGGCGAAGGCGGGUCUCUGGGCCGUAACUGACGCUGGAGGAGCGA